UACGUAGGGGGCAAGCGUUGUCCGGAAUCAUUGGGCGUAAAGAGCGUGUAGGCGGCCAGAUAAGUCCGCUGUGAAAUCUCGAGGCUCAACUUCGAGCUGUCGGUGGAAACUGUCUGGCUAGAGUCCGGAAGAGGAGAAUGGAAUUCCUGGUGUAGCGGUGAAAUGCGCAGAUAUCAGGAAGAACACCCGUGGCGAAGGCGGUUCUCUGGGCCGGUACUGACGCUGAGGCGCGAAAGCGUGGGGAGCAAACAGG
rnacentral:rRNA from 1 species